rnacentral:piRNA from 1 species
UAAAGCAAAAGCAGCUCGGGUAGCCUCUCA